rnacentral:rRNA from 1 species
CAGUAUGGGAGUGAGAAUGUUGGCAUGAGUAGCGAGAUGUGGGUGAGAAUCCCACAGGCCGUAAACCCAAGGUUUCCAGGGGAAGGUUCGUCCGCCCUGGGUUAGUCGGGACCUAAGCUGAGGCCGAAAGGCGUAGGUGAUGGACAACAGGUUGAUAUUCCUGUACUACCGAUAACCGUUUGAGAGAAGGGAUGACACAGUAGGAUAAGCUAAGCACACUGUUGGUUAUGUGUGCCCAAGCAUUGAGGCAGUCAAAGUAGGCAAAUCCGCUUUGAUAAUGCUGGGAUGUGAUGGGGAGCGAAAUUUAGUAGCGAAGUAGCUGAUUUCACACUGUCAAGAAAAGUCUCUAUCGAGGUUAAAGGUACCCGUACCGCAAACCGACACAGGUG